GGGUGCGAUCAUACCAGCGUUAAUGCACCGGAUCCCAUCAGAACUCCACAGUUAAGCGCGCUUGG
rnacentral:rRNA from 1 species